rnacentral:lncRNA from 1 species
AGCGCUCAGACUCCUCUGAGCCCGCCGGGGUUCGCUGGUGUGGUAAAUGGUUUUUUCCUACCUCUUCAACUAGCCAUUGGAUUCCCGAGUCUUCAAAUCAUGAGAGUGAUGUUCCAGAACUGCCACACUGAGCUGUAAAGUUCAGCUGGGCCUCAGAGCUGUGGCACUUGGCUGCAACGCUGAGCUGUAAAACUCAGCCAUGCCUCUGAGCUGUGGCACUUAGCUGAGACACUAAGCUGGAACACUUGGCUGUAGCACUGAGCUGCUCUGCUCUGCUGCAAUAGUUUUGUAGGAUGUCUCAGUCUGCGUUGGAAGUUGUGGUCUUUUAUGGCUUGAAACACUUCACUCCAUACUCUCCUGGCCUUUCAGAUCCUCCUUUGUUGCCAGUUCAGG